GUUCUUAUAGCUUAACUGGAUAGAGCGCUGGCCUCCGACGCCAGUAGUGGCGGUUCGAGUCCGCCUAGGAACA
rnacentral:tRNA from 1 species